rnacentral:rRNA from 1 species
GAUGAACGCUGGCGGCGUGCUUAACACAUGCAAGUCGAACGAUGAAGCCCAGCUUGCUGGGUGGAUUAGUGGCGAACGGGUGAGUAACACGUGAGUAACCUGCCCUUAACUCUGGGAUAAGCCUGGGAAACUGGGUCUAAUACCGGAUAGGAGCGUCCACCGCAUGGUGGGUGUUGGAAAGAUUUAUCGGUUUUGGAUGGACUCGCGGCCUAUCAGCUUGUUGGUGAGGUAAUGGCUCACCAAGGCGACGACGGGUAGCCGGCCUGAGAGGGUGACCGGCCACACUGGGACUGAGACACGGCCCAGACUCCUACUGGAGGCAGCAGUGGGGAAUAUUGCACAAUGGGCGCAAGCCUGAUGCAGCGACGCCGCGUGAGGGAUGACGGCCUUCGGGUUGUAAACCUCUUUCAGUAGGGAAGAAGCGAAAGUGACGGUACCUGCAGAAGAAGCACCGGCUAACUACGUG